rnacentral:rRNA from 9 species
UCCAUUUGAAGAUUUAAAUGGUCUGGCCCGCUCACUGAUAAAAUUAUUUAAGAGCCGCGGUAUAUUGNCCGUGCNAAGGUAGCAUAAUCCUUAGGGGUUUAAUUGGAACCUGGAAUGAAGGGUCGGACAAAGGAAGAACUGUCUNUUAAGGUUUAAUUUGAAGUUUACUUUUAAGUGAGAAGGCUUAAAUAUAUCAAAGGGACGAUAAGACCCUAUAAAGCUUUAUAAAUAAUUUGAAUUUAAUUAAUUUAAAUAAUAAAAGUCAAAUUUAAUUAUUUUAUUUUGUUGGGGUGAUAUGAGUAUAAUUUUAGUUAACUGCUUAAAAAAAAUUCUUUUAUAUAAGGUUUAAAAAUGAAUGAUCCUUUUUAAAGACUAGAAAACUAAGUUACUUUAGGGAUAACAGCGUUAUUUUUUUUGAGAGUUCAUAUCGAAAAAAAAGAUUGCGACCUCGAUGUUGAAUUAAAAUAUCUACAUAAUGUAGC